rnacentral:tRNA from 1 species
GGGCCUGUAGAUCAGCGGAAGAUCGCUUGAUUCGCAAGAUAUCCCACUUAUCGUGGAGGUCCCGAAUCUUCAAGAGGUCACGGGUUCAAUUCCCGUCAGGUCCA